rnacentral:rRNA from 1 species
AUGGAGAACGACAGGAACAACCAGGCGCCGCCACCACCCCCAGGCUACUACCCAUCCGCGGCCGCGGAGCAACGUCAAGCCGGCGGCGGGAAGAAGUCGCGCCGGGGGAGCACCAAAUCCAGGGGCGAGAAGGGAUUCAUCGAGGGAUGCCUAGCGGCGCUGUGCUGCUGCUGGAUCUGCGAGAUGUGCUGCGACUAA